rnacentral:rRNA from 1 species
AUACGGAGGAUCCGAGCGUUAUCCGGAUUUAUUGGGUUUAAAGGGUGCGCAGGCGGCCAUUUAAGUCAGCGGUUAAAUCGUGGGGCUCAACCCCAUUCUGCCGUUGAUACUGGGUGGCUUGAUUGCGAUCGAGGUUGGCGGAAUUCGUUGUGUAGCGGUGAAAUGCAUAGAUAUGACGAAGAACACCGAUUGCGUAGGCAGCCGACCAGACCGCAAAUGACGCUCAUGCACGAAAGUGCGGGGAUCGAACAGGAUUAGAUACCCUGGUAGUCCGCACAGUAAACGAUGAAUACUUGUUUUCGGCGAUAUAAUGUCGGAGGCAAAGCGAAAGCGAUAAGUAUUCCACCUGGGGAGUACGCCGGCAACGGUGAAACUCAAAUGAAUUGACGGG